rnacentral:rRNA from 1 species
GAUGAACGCUGGCGGUGUGCCUAAUACAUGCAAGUCGAGCGAACAGACGAGGAGCUUACUCCUCUGACGUUAGCGGCGGACGGGUGAGUAACACGUGGAUAACCUACCUAUAAGACUGGGAUAACUUCGGGAAACCGGAGCUAAUACCGGAUAACAUGUUGAACCGCAUGGUUCAACAGUGCAAGACGGUCUUGCUGUCACUUAUAGAUGGAUCCGCGUCGCAUUAGCUAGUUCGUAAGGUAACGGCUUACCAAGGCAACGAUGCGUAGCCGACCUGAUAGGGUGAUCGGCCACACUGGCACUGAGACACGGUCCAGACUCCUACGGGAGGCAGCAGUAGGGAAUCUUCCGCACUGGGCGAAAGCCUGACGGAGCCACGCCGCGUGAGUGAAGAAGGUCUUCGGAUCGUAAAACUCUGUUAUUAGGGAAGAACAAGUGUGUAAGUUACUAUGCACGUCUUGACGGUACCUAAUCGGAAAGCCACGGCUAACUACGUG